rnacentral:rRNA from 1 species
AACCCUUGUCCUUAGUUACCAGCACGUUAUGUGGGCACUCUAAGGAGACUGCCGGUGGACAAACCGGAGGAAGGUGGGGAUGACGUCAAGUCAUCAUGGCCCUUACGGCCUGGGCUACACACGUGCUACAAUGGUCGGUACAAAGGGUUGCCAAGCCGCGAGGUGGAGCUAAUCCCAUAAAACCGAUCGUAGUCCGGAUCGCAGUCUGCAACUCGACUGCGUGAAGUCGGAAUCGCUAGUAAUCGUGAAUCAGAAUGUCACGGUGAAUACGUUCCCGGGCCUU